ensembl:lncRNA
AUGUAUGUCGUGAAUGUGAUCACUUUCAACAUGUCUGUUUCUUUUCUCCCGCAGAAUGUGAGAGAUGUGACCAACCGUCCACUCACUGAGUUCAUGGCUCCCUGUAUUGACUCCCUCCCACCGCUGGCUUUCACCAAUCGGAGGCCUAUACCAACCAUGUUACAUCCCCCCUCUCCAUUGGCCAUACGCGCUCAGGAUGCACAGCGGUUCAUUGUAUUUUCAUACUUUGUCCCUGCUGAGUGCCCAGUUGCCACAGCAGAUGUAUCCACUGGUAAAAGAGAGGACUUAUUGACAGAUACGCAUCUUUCCUCAAUGCUGCAUCGACACCUGCCACACUUCUUUAACGAUGACUCCAUUCCACCACAGCAGACAGUAGAGGGAACCACUGAGCUCUCAGUUGCUCCAGUGGCAAUAUCUAAUAUAAAGGAAGAGGACAGAUUCUAUCCUUUCUCACUCCCACCACUGGCUCAGCGGUUCGUUGGCAAUUCAUUCAUUGUCCCAGAAACCUCCCAGCCUGCUGUUUCAGCCACAGAGUGCCGAGUUGCCAAAGAGGCCACUGCAGACACAGCCACUGUCAAGAGAGAGAACCGAUGGGCAGCCAGAAGUCUUCCUUCAGUGCUGCCUCCAUGCCUGCCACCAGUCUUUGACGAUGACUUCAUGCCUCCAGAGCAGACAGUAGAGGAUGCCUAUGAGGUCUCAGGUGCUACAGAGAACACUUCAGGCACAGCUACUGUUGGUGGAGUGGACAGAUCAACAGCUAAAUGCCCUGUCCCAAUGCUGCCUCCAAGUCUGCCACCUGUCUUUGACAAUGACUACAAACUGCCAGAGGAGGCAGUAGAGGGAACCAACAAGUGUCCAGUCGCCAGUGAAUCUGCUGCUUCCGUGUCCGCUGUCCUCCAAGAGGAGUUUUCAGCUGAUAAGAGUCUUCCUGCACCCGCAGCACUGCCUCUAAGGCUGCCCUGCACCCACAGCAUUGACCACAAACAGCUGUGGGAGAAAGUUGAGGACAACACAGAGUUCUCAGUAGACAAAGAAGCAACUGUUGCCAUUUACACUUGGGAAGAUAAAAGUCCUUCAGUUCUGCCAUGCAUCCACAACAACAACGACCACCAUCUGCUAGAGGAGACAGUUGAGGACAACACAGAGUGCUCAGUUGACACCGAGGCAAGUGCAGUUGCAUCCACUGUCAAGAGAGAGGAACUGAUAGGUGAUAAAAGCCCUGUCCGAGCAAUUCCUCCAAUCCUUGGAUGCAUCCAUGACAAGGACCACAAGGAGCCAGAGCAGAAAGUGAAGGGCCCUAGUGAAGAGGUGGAUCUCUGCCCUCACGCUCACCAGCUGGACCCAGAUGUUAACUUAACUCUGGCAACCCGCAAUGAUGAACCCAGGACCUGGACCCUGGAAGAGGCAAAGGAUUAUUGGAUAGGCAUUGAAAUUGAGAGUGAAGAGAGGAGCGUCAAGGAGGAGGUGAGACAGAGGGAGGGAUUGAAGCGUGAGGCGGACUGUGCCCAUUCCAUGAGCUCCAAUGGGAUGGCUUCAUCAGAGAGAGCAGAGACUAUCCUUGGAAGAGUGGGCUUUCUGGUCAUGAACCACAUGCAGAAAAUCCCAUUUUUGAAGAUGAAGGAAAAAGAGAAAAAUAAGAAACUGCAUAAGAAGUUGAAAGAUGAUGAGAAAGAGAGAAAGGAGAAGAAAAACAAGGAGGAGGAGAACAAAAAGAGGGAGAAGAAAGAGAUGAAUGAGAGAGAGAAAGAGCAGAAGAAAGUCAUGAAGGCUGAGAAAAAGAGGGAGAAGUUAGAACAGAAAAAGAGAGAGAAGGAAAGAAAAGAGAAGGAAAAGGCAGAGAAAAAGAGGUAGAGGGGCUGAUGAAGAUACAUAAUGACAUGAUGAAAGACAGGAUUAAGAAAGAGAAGAGGUGUUCUGAGGAGCUGAAAAAGAGAGAGAAAGCUCAAGCUGAGUUCUUGGAGAUGGAGAGAAAGAUUCAAGAAAAGGAGGAGAAGAAGAGAGAAAAGAGGAGGAAAGAGGAGAGGAAGAGACUAGAGAAGAAGAAAAAGAGGGAGCCAGCUGGAGGUUGAAAUGAGAGGGUGAUAGAAGAGCAGGGAAAGGAUGAAAGCUUGAAGAUGGAUGAGUAGACUGGGUAUUAGAGAGAGAGAGCAGGGCGGGAUACUGUAUUUUUGCAUGCAAUGAAAAAUGCAAUAAAAAAAUCAAUAAAAAAGGUUUACUCUCUGUUUGAUUUUUGUCAAGGCAUACUGUAUAACACAGCAUAAACACACAAUGUAUACAUUUCACAAAUCUGGGGAGUGUUGCACUGUUAAAAUGUUGAAUUCCAAAUCAACCUGAUGGAGCGGAGCUAUUCUGAGAUGAGGAGGACGAAAAGGGAGGGGGAGUAGAUGGAGGGUAGAGCGGAGUUUGUUAGAGAGGAAAUUGAUAGAGAUGAAUAUGACAGAGAGGAAUAUGAUAGAGUGGAAUACGAUAGAGAGGAAUAUGAUAGAGAGGAAUAUGAUAGAGUGGAAUACGAUAGAGAGGAAUACGAUAGAGAGGAAUAUGAUACAGAUGAAUAUGCUGGAGAGGAAU